rnacentral:rRNA from 1 species
UACGUAGGGUGCAAGCGUUGUCCGGAAUUAUUGGGCGUAAAGAGCUCGUAGGCGGUUUGUCGCGUCGGCUGUGAAAUCGUGGGGCUCAACCCCGCGUCUGCAGCCGAUACGGGCAAACUAGAAUUCGGUAGGGGAGACUGGAAUUCCUGGUGUAGCGGUGAAAUGCGCAGAUAUCAGGAGGAACACCGGUGGCGAAGGCGGGUCUCUGGGCCGAUAUUGACGCUGAGGAGCGAAAGCGUGGGGAGCAAACAGG